UGACCAGAAGCUAACUGAGCUAGCCACUGAUGCUAAUGCUGCUGCUGGAGCACCAAAGGGAGCUGCAGCUGAGCCGUCCACCUCACAGCCCCAAAAGAAAGAAGAAGAGACGAGGGAAAAGAAGGCCGGCCAGCCAGACGAGUCGAAGGCGGUAGCGGGGGGGUCAGAGGGCUCUCAGGGCAGCACUGAGGAUGAGUGUGGUGACGAGGAAAGUGAAGACUCCGAUGAGAGUGAAGGUGAUGACCUUGACGAUGAGGAAAACAUAGAGGAAGAAGAAGAGGAGGAGAGUGAACCGCUGUCUUUAAAGUGGCCCGAAACCAGACGCAAGCAGGCCACCUACCUGUUCCUGCUGCCCAUCGUGUUCCCGCUGUGGCUCACGCUGCCCGACGUCCGCAACCUGGCUUCCAGGCGGUAUUUUCCCGUCACGUUUAUCGGUUCCAUCCUGUGGAUCGGAGUUUUCUCCUACCUGAUGGUGUGGUGGGCUCAUCA